UGGUAAGCUGACUGACACAAUGUGCCACGCAUCGCUAGGUUAGGAUACUGGUUUGGUGACUGUCUACACGUACUUUGUCCCAUGUCGUACACUGUACUGUCAGUACAAGUGUCAUUGUCAGAGAGGAAUCGGUUAGGACACGGCCACUUCUACCAUUUCAUCGACUUAUUCCCAGAUGUGCAGGUACGCUUCCAUGUUUACCUGUGAGUGACUUGUAGUUAUGAGCGGCCGUGGCGACAUGCGACUAAUGAUGUAGCACCUGGAUUUUACUUUUUGUCACCACGAAGACUCAGACCCUGCACCAAUCUUAGGAAUGUCACAACCAACAGCCCCACCUUACGCCCAGUAUCCGCCUGCAUACUCGAUACUUUCAAUUCCAGACCAAAGGUCGCAUAUUAAUCAAGACAGAUGUCGAAACUCGCACAGGAUUUAUCAAACAACAUCAGACAUAGGCUACACACGACCGCAACAGGCGAUAUAUCCAAGCAACCGGAUGAUUCAUCCGGGUUACUUCCACGGCAACCAACCCCUUCCUGGGCAAGCCACCAGCUAUCCUCCGCGCCAUGGAAAUGAACCGAUUUUCAGGAGAACCACGAUAGAGAAGGAAGAGAGUGGACGUGUCGACAACGUUGACGUGUGUAUAAUGGCCGUUCUAGCCGCAGUAUGUUGUUGUUUCUUGUGUUCAAACUUGGAGGACUAAGAAGCUAUUGACUUUUCCUCAAUAGUAAGCGUUUCAUCAGCGGUAUUCGCUUGUUAUUAACACACAUUGACUUAAGGAUAUUUGCGUCAUCUAUGCGACAUGCAUUAUUUUCAAAAAGAGUUUACAUAUUUGGAGUUGAGACAAAUGCCACCCAUGAAACGGUUGAGCUGUUGUUUAAACAGAAGUUUUAAUGAACUGGCUGAUUUUCACUUUCCGUCAUUUUCAUGGGUUGAAAUCCUGAAUCAUGGAACACGGUGGUAAGAAUAUAUGUGCUCUUGUAAAUUUGCUUCUUUCCGUUGAUAUCAGUCAUUUUCAUUGGUUAAAAUCCUGAAUUAUGGAACGAAGUGGUUUGAAGGUUAGCGUCCUUUCAUUUUGUGCUCAUCCAUUGAGAAAAAUGCAUACCGGACGUCCAUGUAAUUUCAUAACAGAUGUCUCCUCUUUAUACCUGUACUUGAUAGGGCAAUGGUGCCACAACCGACCAGAUAUCUCAGUUGGUUAGAGAGACACUAUAACGGUCGAAGGUCCAGAGUUCGAAUUUUUUCGGUGUAUUUCAUUUUUAUUACUUUUUCACAAGAGUUCAGGAAGUAAUGUAUUUCUCUUCAGAAUUGUGACAUCAAAGCUUUACCAAAGCCAAACAAAGGCCUAGCCCUUUUUUGUCAUGGUACAGGGAGUAUCAAAAACGAACAAUACCAAACUAUGUGACGCAUUGUAAAACCGAAUGCUUAGCUUAGAGCUGAACACAUAGCAGUGGGAUAUUUUCAUAUCAGCUAGUUAACUUAUUGCCUCAAACAUGUUCCUACCAGGCCAAGCUCUUCGGUUGUAAAACAACAUCUAUCGAUCGACGAUAUUAUCAAAGAUCUAGCAAAAAGAAACUUCGUUGUUUAUAUUGUGUAACACUUGUUAUCAAAUUUUAAAAAGAAAAUAAGUCGCUUAAGCUCGUUUUCAUUGUAACAAAUUAAUAUUAACUAACUCGUGAUGUGGACAGAGAUAUACUCUCAAAACCAGGACAGUAUAUGUGUUUUUCCAAUACAAGGAUUUACUAAAUGCAGCACUCCCAGAUAUAUUUUCUGUCGACAUAACAGAAGAUAAAUGACCCUUUAAUCGACAGAUUAGUAUCGACACGCAGCACUAACAUUGUCAGAGAUUUAGGUGAAUUUAUCAGACAUCGGCAAUAUCCGACUGAUUGUGAUACGGUCAUUCUAGUGUGCCGUCUUAUAAUUUCUCAGAUCGUGCGAGCAGUCCAGAUCCUUAGGCAGACAGAACGAAAGGAAAGUUUCUGUUAGGAAGGAAAAAUGUAUGGUGUCUUACACGAUUUAAAUUUUGUUGGCAAUAAUUUGUGCUCUAAUUGUUCCUUCUGUUUACAAACCAAAGAUGGAUUAUGCGAUAUGAAUACAUAUCGGCUUUAAGACGGCCAAAGAAACAUGUAUAAACCAUUAAUGCUAUAUUUAAGUGGAUGCAAUCAAAUUGUUGUUACCUGCUUUGCAUUUUGAUUUAGCUGAUGCGUGUGCCGUGAAAUAGGGCAGAAUGCCUCGAAAGUUGACGAGUUAUAUUGUCAGCAUUGGCUACCAUCUCUAUUCUUCCUGUACUUUCGCAUUGAGUUGUAACGUACGGGUGGUUACCAAUCUAGCCACUGACCACGCCCGACGUUGUUGAACCAGUCAGCGGGUCUCAUGGUUAUUCCGUCUUUGCGUAUUGCAGAGUUAUCUUCUCUUGUGAGCAGGUAUUGAUUGUUACAUCAUUUGUU
rnacentral:lncRNA from 1 species